GGAAAGAAACGAGAAAGGAAAGAAAUAUAAAAGAAAGAAAUGGAAAGGAAAAGUGUGAUGAUCUUUUACAGGUAAAAACGAGGACUCAAAAGUAAACCUGUGUAAACCCGAAACUCUCUACCCGGACUCUACCGUCCCAACGGAGAAGCUACGCUGCCUUCCAUACUCUCUGGGACUCUCUUCUUGCAAUUGCUGUCGCGCCGUCCUGUUCGCCGCCUUCCGCUCGCCGCCUCGUCGCGACCCUGUCGCACGUUGCAGUUCCUGCUAGUUCUGUGAGAGUCUUGAGUAGCAGGAUUUUUUCAGUACCAGGGCAAGUGGGCUAUCAUCAUCCCUUGAAGUAAACAUCUGGAUGGCUGAAACUCUUGUUCCAUAUUUUGAAGAAUUAAGACCAAAGCAUCAUCUUCAGGUUAUUAGAGAAGUAAAAGCAGGCUCUGAAAGCAAAGCUAUUGUCAAGACUAACGCACACAGGCAGCGUUCUUAUCCCUAUGAAAGAUGAGUCUCUGGCACUAUGAACUCUCCUAUUAUUCUUAUUCUAUUGCAUUAGAAAACAAAAACAAAGCAAGAUUUUUCUCGACUGUGUUUGAGUUUCACAGUGAAUGGUAAACGCAAAGUCCUUUUUAAUUAUUAUACAAAACCUCAUACACUUUAUCAACGUUCAAUGAGAUUAGUUCCGUGUUGAACCACAAAGUUGAAUUCACAGUCUUCAACAUUUGAACCGAACUCUCUGGGUUCUAACAAUUAGCCAUUAUGCACGUCUUUGUUGAUUCAAAGAGGACAACGUUUUUGGGUGCAUAAUUAAGAUAAAUUUUAGGCUGAAUUAAAUAAAAUCUCGUUAAAAUUAGGAUGAAGUGCGUUUGGAAUUUAGAUAUAUGUUGAGUGCACCGUGAACAAAUUUUCAUUUUGAAGGUUAAGAUAUAUCUAAACACAGCCGAAAUUAACAUGAUUUGUCUGAUUUUAUGUUACAGAAUACUUACUGCAAAAAUUCUAAAAAAUAAUCAACUUAUAAGAAUCAUCUAUUAAAGCAAUACAAUAUAAGAAUUUUGUCUAGUAAAUUUUGAAAAAGACAAUCUUACAACAUAAUAGUGUUUUAAUCAAUUUUUCAGGUAGUAUAUUAGAUUACGGAAGUAUAAGUCAAUGUCUUAUCUGAUACAAGGAGACUCUAGUCUAGAAUCUAGAUGCAUGUUUACUGUUUAGGACUUUAGUAUAUUGUUUUCCUUCAGCAUCAAAUUUGUGUACGAGAUUCUUCGUUCACUUUUGUUUUGGCAUUUACUCAAUUAUUGGGGAGACUAGGCAAGUUAAUUUCCUACCAGCUACCACCAUCAUCUCAACAACUCUUCGCAUGUAUGAGUUAUGACAAUUUGCUUGAAAUUUGUAAAGGGAAAAUAAACUACAUUAGUUCUGUUCCAGAUAAAUGCCUACCACGUCUAAAAUGGGCACAAUGAGAUAUGUAUUUAAUACUAUUACACGUAGAGGUCCCUGAAGGUUAGCUCAAGUGGUAUAUAAGGGUUGGAUAUGAUGAAGGGUGAAGGAUAAAUGAUUCGAACCCUGAGGAGAGACUAAUUUACCAAUAACUAACAUUUGCCUAUAAAAAAAUUAUUAAAAUAGGGCUGUGUGUAGAUUGAGUCGACCCAAACCUACCCGACUCGAUUUGAAGCAAAAAAGUCGGGUUGAGUGCAAAGAUUUAAUUGAUUUUAGAGAUUCAUAACUAAAAAAUAUAAGGUCGGGUAUAGAGUUAAGGAAAUUAAAGUAAGAUAUGGAGAACCCAACUGAACCAAACCAAUGUGCUAAAUAGUAUUAGUGAGGAACUGAGGAUUCACUCACUUGACUCUACUCACUUGACUCUAGGUUUUCCAAUUUUCUCCCGCUUCCACUUCUCUUGUGCCUUCCUUCUCUUCCGACCCCGAUCAUAAGUUGUCUAUAUAUUACUAACUUUGAAAUAAACAUUUGUACCUACCUAGAAUUGAUUUUAAUCUUAUUUUCGUAAAUUUUCGUAAGCUUAUUUUAGUUUAUGAAUUUUCUUGUGCUAUAAACACUUGUUUCCAUAAAGCAUUUAAUUAAAAUUUUUACCU